GAUGAACGCUGGCGGCGUGCUUAACACAUGCAAGUCGAACGAAGCACUUUAUUUGAUUUCCUUCGGGACUGAUUAUUUUGUGACUGAGUGGCGGACGGGUGAGUAACGCGUGGGUAACCUGCCUUGUACAGGGGGAUAACAGUUGGAAACGGCUGCUAAUACCGCAUAAGCGCACAGCAUCGCAUGAUGCAGUGUGAAAAACUCCGGUGGUAUAAGAUGGACCCGCGUUGGAUUAGCUAGUUGGUGAGGUAACGGCCCACCAAGGCGACGAUCCAUAGCCGACCUGAGAGGGUGACCGGCCACAUUGGGACUGAGACACGGCCCGAACUCCUACGGGAGGCAGCAGUGGGGAAUAUUGCACAAUGGGCGAAAGCCUGAUGCAGCGACGCCGCGUGAGCGAAGAAGUAUUUCGGUAUGUAAAGCUCUAUCAGCAGGGAAGAUAAUGACGGUACCUGACUAAGAAGCACCGGCUAAAUACGUG
rnacentral:rRNA from 1 species